rnacentral:rRNA from 1 species
GACGAACGCUGGCGGCGUGCUUAACACAUGCAAGUCGAACGGAAAGGCCCUGCUUUUGUGGGGUGCUUGAGUGGCGAACGGGUGAGUAACACGUGAGUAACCUGCCCUUGACUUUGGGAUAACUUCAGGAAACUGGGGCUAAUACCGGAUAGGAGCUCCUGCUGCAUGGUGGGGGUUGGAAAGUUUCGGCGGUUGGGGAUGGACUCGCGACUUAUCAGCUUGUUGGUGGGGUAGUGGCUUACCAAGGCUUUGACGGGUAGCCGGCCUGAGAGGGUGACCGGCCACAUUGGGACUGAGAUACGGCCCAGACUCCUACGGGAGGCAGCAGUGGGGAAUAUUGCACAAUGGGCGGAAGCCUGAUGCAGCAACGCCGCGUGCGGGAUGACGGCCUUCGGGUUGUAAACCGCUUUCGCCUGUGACGAAGCGUGAGUGACGGUAAUGGGUAAAGAAGCACCGGCUAACUACGUG